UCUGGCCCUAAUCGAAGGCGUUCCUGUUUCCUCAUAGCAGGCGCGAUCACAAAAGAGCCUAAAUGAUCACUUUUACCGACGGUCGCUGUGUGACUGCAUCACUAGUCGCUUCAGCAACAUAAAGGAAAAGGACAAUU